GCUCUUCACUCUGCUACUGGUUUUGUGUCAUGUCCUUACAGAGCCGACAGUUCCAGAGUGUCAUUCUCUGUCUGAUGGUCAUGAUGUUCAGCCAAAACCAAGCAGCUCUGCUCCUCAUUGUGCUGCUAGCGCGCCGUGUCUUUGCAGAGACCCCAGUAACUGACCACAGGGAUAUGCUGGUAUCCAGAGGAGACUCAGUCACGUUCCACUGCAACGUAUCCAGAGAAAAUGCUUCGGAAAUGACCUGGAACUUUAAAAGAUUAAUUUACAAACAUUCUAUCUUGAUAAAUCAGACUUUUUCAAAUAUAUCCUCUCACAGACUGAGAAUAGA